CCGGCGCACGGGUGAGUAACGACGUAAUCCAACCUAGCCGAUGACUCGGGGAUAGCCUUUCGAAAGAAAGAUUAAUACCCGAUGGCAUAGUUCUUCCGCAUGGUAGGAACUAUUAAAGAAUUUCGGUCAUCGAUGGGGAUGCGUUCCAUUAGGUUGUUGGCGGGUAACGGCCACCAAGCCUUCGAUGGAUAGGGGUUCUGAGAGGAAGGGUCCCCCACAUUGGAACUGAGACACGGUCCAAACUCCUACGGGAGGCAGCAUG
rnacentral:rRNA from 1 species